rnacentral:rRNA from 1 species
UACGUAGGGUGCGAGCGUUAAUCGGAAUUACUGGGCGUAAAGUGUGCGCAGGCGGUUCGCGAUGUCCGGCGUGAAAGCCCCGGGCUUAACCUGGGAAUUGCAUUGGAAACUAGCGGGCUGGAGUGUGGCAGAGGGGGGUGGAAUUCCACGUGUAGCAGUGAAAUGCGUAGAGAUGUGGAGGAACACCGAUGGCGAAGGCAGCCCCCUGGGCUAACACUGACGCUCAUGCACGAAAGCGUGGGUCGCGAAUGGG